GUCUAUCAUAAGGGUUCGGAACUAUCAAUCACCAGUAGUGUUAUGCAAAUCUAAGUCACUAUGCUUUUGUAGGAAAGCGAAAUCCAGACAUACCCGAAACCCAAGUGUUCCCUUUAACAGUGGACCCGUCUGUACAUUAGCCGCAAACUUAAC
rnacentral:lncRNA from 1 species